AUUGAACGCUGGCGGCAUGCCUUACACAUGCAAGUCGAACGGCAGCACGGGAGCAAUCCUGGUGGCGAGUGGCGAACGGGUGAGUAAUAUAUCGGAACGUGCCCAGUCGUGGGGGAUAACGUAGCGAAAGCUACGCUAAUACCGCAUACGAUCUACGGAUGAAAGCGGGGGAUCGCAAGACCUCGCGCGAUUGGAGCGGCCGAUAUCAGAUUAGCUAGUUGGUGGGGUAAAAGCUCACCAAGGCGACGAUCUGUAGCUGGUCUGAGAGGACGACCAGCCACACCGGAACUGAGACACGGUCCAGACUCCUACGGGAGGCAGCAGUGGGGAAUUUUGGACAAUGGGCGCAAGCCUGAUCCAGCAAUGCCGCGUGCAGGAUGAAGGCCUUCGGGUUGUAAACUGCUUUUGUACGGAACGAAACGGUGAGCUCUAAUAAAGCUUGCUAAUGACGGUACCGUAAGAAUAAGCACCGGCUAACUACGUG
rnacentral:rRNA from 1 species